AUCUCUGGGUGAAUGAGGAUGAGAGAGAAAUGGCGGCAGUCAAAGGUGUAACUAAGAUUUAAUGGUAUAGUUGCUGCAAGGAUUCUAAAACCACGAAACCAGUCGACCUCAAGGAGACCUGGACUGCGGAGCAGAAGCCGGC